UACGGGGGGGGCAAGCGUUGUUCGGAAUUACUGGGCGUAAAGGGCUCGUAGGCGGCCAACUAAGUCAGACGUGAAAUCCCUCGGCUUAACCGGGGAACUGCAUCUGAUACGGGCGAACUUGAGGCCAGUAGGGGGACGCGGAAUUCCGGGUGUAGUGGUGGAAUGCGUAGAGAUCCGGAGGAACACCAGCGGCGAAGGCGGCGUCCUGGACUGGUACUGACGCUCAGGAGCGAAAGCGUGGGGAGCGAUCCGG
rnacentral:rRNA from 1 species